rnacentral:rRNA from 1 species
AUUGAACGCUGGCGGCAGGCCUAACACAUGCAAGUCGAGCGGAUGAAGGGAGCUUGCUCCUGGAUUCAGCGGCGGACGGGUGAGUAAUGCCUAGGAAUCUGCCUGGUAGUGGGGGAUAACGUCCGGAAACGGGCGCUAAUACCGCAUCCGUCCUGAGGGAGAAAGUGGGGGAUCUUCGGACCUCACGCUAUCAGAUGAGCCUAGGUCGGAUUAGCUAGUUGGUGGGGUAAAGGCCUACCAAGGCGACGAUCCGUAACUGGUCUGAGAGGAUGAUCAGUCACACUGGAACUGAGACACGGUCCAGACUCCUACGGGAGGCAGCAGUGGGGAAUAUUGGACAAUGGGCGAAAGCCUGAUCCAGCCAUGCCGCGUGUGUGAAGAAGGUCUUCGGAUUGUAAAGCACUUUAAGUUGGGAGGAAGGGAAGUAAGUUAAUACCUUGCUGUUUUGACGUUACCAACAGAAUAAGCACCGGCUAACUUCGUG